GGACGAACGCUGGCGGCGUGCUUAACACAUGCAAGUCGGACGGUUGGCACUGGAAGGUUCGCUGGAAGGUGCUGAUAGUGGCGGACGGGUGAGUAACGCGUGAGGACAUGUCUGCAGGAGGGGGAUAACGUUUGGAAACGGACGCUAAGACCCCGUAAGCCGGGAGGUGAAAGUGGCGAAAGCCAGCCUGUGGAGUGACUCGCGUCCUAUCAGCUAGUUGGCGGGGUGAAGGCCCACCAAGGCGAUGACGGGUAGCCGACCUGAGAGGGUGGCCGGCCACACUGGAACUGAGAUACGGUCCAGACUCCUACGGGAGGCAGCAGUGGGGAAUAUUGCGCAAUGGGCGAAAGCCUGACGCAGCCAUGCCGCGUGGAUGAUGAAGGCCUUCGGGUCGUAAAGUCCUUUUCUGAGGGAAGAACUGCCGGGGGAGGAAAUGCCCUUGGCUUGACGGUACCUCAGGAAUAAGCAACGGCUAACUCCGUGCCAGCAGCCGCGGUAAUACGGAGGUUGCAAGCGUUGUUCGGAAUGACUGGGCGUAAAGGGAGCGCAGGCGGCCAAGUCAGUCUGAAGUGAAAGCCCGGGGCUUAACCCCGGAAUAGCUUUGGAUACUGCCUGGCUUGAGUGUGCGAUNGNNANNCGGAAUUCCAGGUGUAGCGGUGAAAUGCGUAGAUAUCUGGAGGAACACCGGUGGCGAAAGCGGCUUUCUGGCGCAUAACUGANNNNGAGGCUCGAAAGCGUGGGGAGCGAACGGGAUUAGAUACCCCGGUAGUCCACGCCGUAAACGUUGUGCACUAGGUGUGGGAGGUAUCGACCCCUUCCGUGCCGAAGCUAACGCAUUAAGUGCACCGCCUGGGGAGUACGGUCGCAAGACUGAAACUCAAAGGAAUUGACGGGGGCCCGCACAAGCGGUGGAGCAUGUGGUUUAAUUCGUGGCAACGCGAAGAACCUUACCCAGGCUUGACAUCCCGAGACCGCCAUGGAAACAUGGUUUCCCCUUCGGGGGCUCGGAGACAGGUGUUGCAUGGCUGUCGUCAGCUCGUGUCGUGAGAUGUUGGGUUAAGUCCCGCAACGAGCGCAACCCUUGUCCCUAGUUACCAGCGGUUCGGCCGGGCACUCUAGGGAGACUGCCGGUGAUAAACCGGAGGAAGGUGGGGACGACGUCAAGUCAUCACGGCCCUUAUGCCUGGGGCGACACACGUGCUACAAUGGCCGGUACAAAGAGCUGCAAAGCCGCGAGGCAGAGCUAAUCUCAAAAAGCCGGUCUCAGUUCGGAUUGGAGUCUGCAACCCGACUCCAUGAAGUCGGAAUCGCUAGUAAUCGCGUAUCAGCCACGACGCGGUGAAUACGUUCCCGGGCCU
rnacentral:rRNA from 1 species